rfam:Aptenodytes forsteri contig20622, whole genome shotgun sequence.
CCAAAGGCUCUUCUAAGAGCCAAAAAAAAUUUGGGGAAGAGUGGCU